rnacentral:tRNA from 1 species
AUGGGUACAGCUCAGUGGUAUAGUGCAUGCUUAGCACGCACGAGGUCUUGGGUUCAAUUCCCAGUACCUCUA